AACGUUUCGGGCAUAAGCCCUUCUUCAGGAAUGUAAAUGAAUUGUCCACUGCUGCCCGGCUCCUGACCAUAUGCUGUUCCAUUAUCAGAAACCAGUGAUCAAUACCAAAGCCUUGUUGCCUGUGGAGAGGGUGAUGUUUGACUUCCUUGUACAGCUGCAGUUUGUAUGGUGAAGGUGCUCCCACAACGUGGUUGGGGUGCUAGAUGGUGAAGAUUUGCAGACUGAAAUCUCAAAAUCAUGUGCCAAUCGUGAUUGAGUUAUCCAGAAUUUGACAAACCAAAGAUGGGGAAUUACUCGGCCAAAGUCCUGCAACACUCUACCUCCCAGCAUUGUCGGUCUAUCUGCACCAAAUGGACUGCAAUUGGUUCAAGACAGCAGCUCACUACCAUCUUCUUAAGGGUACCUAGA